UACGUAGGGUGCGAGCGUUGUCCGGAAUUAUUGGGCGUAAAGGGCUCGUAGGCGGUCUGUCGCGUCGGUAGUGAAAACUCAGGGCUUAACCCUGAGCCUGCUUCCGAUACGGGCAGACUAGAGGUAUGCAGGGGAGAAUGGAAUUCCUGGUGUAGCGGUGAAAUGCGCAGAUAUCAGGAGGAACACCAGUGGCGAAGGCGGUUCUCUGGGCAUUACCUGACGCUGAGGAGCGAAAGUGUGGGGGAGCGAACAGG
rnacentral:rRNA from 1 species